GGAGAAUGUUAUCACGGGAGACACACGGCGGGUGCUAACGUCCGUCGUGAAGAGGGAAACAACCCAGACCGCCAGCUAAGGUCCCAAAGUCAUGGUUAAGUGGGAAACGAUGUGGGAAGGCCCAGACAGCCAGGAUGUUGGCUUAGAAGCAGCCAUCAUUUAAAGAAAGCGUAAUAGCUCACUGGUCGAGUCGGCCUGCGCGGAAGAUGUAACGGGGCUAAACCAUGCACCGAAGCUGCGGCAGCGACGCUGAUGCGUUGUUGGGUAGGGGAGCGUUCUGUAAGCCUGCGAAGGUGUGCUGUGAGGCAUGCUGGAGGUAUCAGAAGUGCGAAUGCUGACAUAAGUAACGAUAAAGCGGGUGAAAAGCCCGCUCGCCGGAAGACCAAGGGUUCCUGUCCAACGUUAAUCGGGGCAGGGUGAGUCGACCCCUAAGGCGAGGCCGAAAGGCGUAGUCGAUGGGAAACAGGUUAAUAUUCCUGUACUUGGUGUUACUGCGAAGGGGGGACGGAGAAGGCUAUGUUGGCCGGGCGA
rnacentral:rRNA from 1 species